GACGAACGCUGGCGGCGUGCUUAACACAUGCAAGUCGAACGGAAAGGCCCUGCUUUUGUGGGGUGCUCGAGUGGCGAACGGGUGAGUAACACGUGAGUAACCUGCCCUUGACUUUGGGAUAACUUCAGGAAACUGGGGCUAAUACCGGAUAGGAGCGCCUGCUGCAUGGUGGGGGUUGGAAAGUUUCGGCGGUUGGGGAUGGACUCGCGGCUUAUCAGCUUGUAGGUGGGGUAGUGGCUUACCAAGGCUUUGACGGGUAGCCGGCCUGAGAGGGUGACCGGCCACAUUGGGACUGAGAUACGGCCCAGACUCCUACGGGAGGCAGCAGUGGGGAAUAGUGCACAAUGGGCGGAAGCCUGAUGCAGCAACGCCGCGUGCGGGAUGACGGCCUUCGGGUUGUAAACCGCUUUCGCCUGUGACGAAGCGUGAGUGACGGUAAUGGGUAAAGAAGCACCGGCUAACUACGUG
rnacentral:rRNA from 1 species